rnacentral:rRNA from 1 species
AUGUCAGUCAUGUUCAUUGCCACUUGCGUAGCCCUUGCUUUGUGCUUCGCAGUGGGUGCAGCGGCGAAAGUCUCGGCGCGGCGUCCGCUGCGGGGCAACGACACGCUCGUCUCCGCACAGGGCAGGUUCGAGCUCGGCCUGUUCAGCCCCGCUGGCAGCUCCGACGGUAGGUUCUACCUGGGGAUCUGGUACAAGAACAUCCCUGGCCAGACCGUCGUCUGGGUCGGCAACCGCGCGACCCCCCUGUCCGGCGUCGCGUCCGCCGAGCUCCGGGUGUCCGCCGCCGAUGGCAAUCUCGAGCUCGUCGGUCCCACCAACGCCUCCGCCUUGCCGGUCGUCGUGUGGUCUUCAAACCUCUCGUCUUCGUCUCUGUCAUCGUCGCGGGGCUCGAACACGGUGGAGAUCCGCGACGACGGCAACCUGGUCCUUGUCGACGGCGGCAACUCCUCCACCGUGCUAUGGCAGAGCUUCGAUCACCCGACGGACACGCACGUGCCGGGGGCGUGGAUCGGAGAGAACAAGCUCACCGGUGAGUACCAGACGCUGACAUCAUGGCGGAACGCCCAAGACCCCGCUCCGGGGAUGUUCACGGACAUGAUAGACCCCAAUGGCACCAGUGAGUUCUUCUACAUGUGGAACCGUUCCCGCGCGUACUGGCGGAGCGGCGUCUGGACGUGGAAAGUCUUCGAGAGGCUGCCGGACGCAACGGGGAGCAUCACGUCGUACGAGGAGACGUCGGCGUACCGGCGUCUCACCAACGUCAUCACGGACAACACGACCAUCACGCGCUUGGUGCUUGAUCUCACCGGCCAGGCGAAGCUGUACAUCUGGGUGCCCGCGAGGCAGAGCUGGCAACUGUUCUGGACCGCGCCCACCAUGCAGUGCCAAGUGUACGCGCUCUGUGGCGCGUUCGGCAUCUGCGACCAGAGGAGCCAACUGCCGUGCCGGUGCCCGCCCGGGUUCGCUCCGGUGUCCGAGGGGGACUGGACGCUGAGCGACUGGAGUGGUGGCUGCCGCCGGAGCUCGCAGCUCACAUGCGCGCACAACGGGUCGACGGCGGACGGAUUCUUAGCGCUGCCGAAUGUGAAGCUCCCCGACGAGUCGGUCUCCGUGGCCGUUGCCCAGAGCAAAGCAGAGUGCGAAUCGACUUGCCAAAAGAAUUGCUCUUGCCAAGCCUAUGCCUUCUCCGCCGGGGACGUGGGAUGCACCGUCUGGUAUGGAGAGAUCCGCAACCUUGAGCAGCUCUACGUGGAUUCCGACGUCUCUGGGUCAGACCUCCAUCUCCGGCUUUCAGAAGCAGGAUUGCAAGUUCUGCACGGCUCAGACAGGAAGAAACGAGGUAGAAAGUUAUGGCUUGUUUUCGGCAUCCCAUUGGUCGGCGUUGUAGCAUUAGGCGCGUCGGUGAUACUGGCCUGGAGGAUUCUCCUUGCUCGGAGGAGACGACUAGCCAGAAUGGAAAACGAGAAGGGAUCCUCCUUGGCCGUGUACAGUUACGGCGACCUCCGUGCCGCCACGAAGAACUUCUCAGAGCGGCUGGGCGGCGGCAGCUUUGGCUCGGUGUACCGUGGUGUCCUGAAGCGGCAUAAGGGAGACAACAUAAUCCAAGUCCAAGUGGCAGUGAAGAAGCUUGAAAGUCUUGGUGGGCGGCAGGGCGACAAGCAGUUUCGGGCGGAGGUGAACACGUUGGGGCUCAUCCAGCACGUGAACCUUGUUCGGCUCUUCGGGUUCUGCCCGUCGCAUGAUGAGAAGAUGCUCGUGUACGAGUACAUGGCCAGAGGCUCCCUUGACCGCUAUCUCUUUGGCAGCGGCGCAAGCCGAAGCUGGCGCGAACGGUACAACAUCAUGGUUGGCGUGGCAAGAGGGCUGGCCUACCUGCACCACGGUUGUCAGGAGUGCAUCAUACACUGCGAUAUUAAGCCGGAGAACAUCCUGCUAGACGAGGACAUGUCCCCGAGGAUCGCCGACUUCGGGAUGGCGAAGCUGGUGGGGAGGGACUUCAGCCGCGCGCUGACGACAAUGCGGGGCACCAUCGGGUAUCUGGCGCCGGAGUGGAUCUCCGGGCAGCCCAUCAGUGCCAAGGCGGAUGUGUAUAGCUUUGGAAUGGUGCUCUUUGAGCUCAUCUCAGGACGACGAAACUCCGAGGGGUAUAGUGCGGUGGAGGCGGCAGGGAGCGGGAGCAGUGAUUCGUGGACCUUCUUCCCCGUGUGGGCAUUGGGGAAGGUCAUGGAAGGGGAGGUGGGCGCCGUAGCUGACCCGCGGCUGCGUGGAAACGUGAGUCCGGAGGAGCUGGAGCGGGCAUGUUGGGUGGCGUGCUGGUGCAUCAGGACCAAGAGGGGCAACGGCCGACCAUGGCGCAGGUCGUUCAGGCGCUGGAGGGCGCCGUCCAGGUUCACGCGCCGCCAGUUCCGCGGGCUCUGCAGCACCUCGUCACGCUCAUGUAAUCCACCCGGCGCGGCUACGCAGAUCUUCUUAUACAUCGUUCAAGUCAUGAGAAAGCACGUAUGCCGACUGAAGUUACCCAUUCAGACUAGGCGUUCAAGUCAUCGUUACGUACUACUGUCAAAGCACGUGUGGAAGAGUUCCGAUGACAUAAGAAAGUAG